UGGAUCCAGACUUUGAUCCUGGGCUCAGGAUAAACGCUGGCGGCGCACAUAAGACAUUGCAAGUCGAACGGAAGUCGUUGUAAUGAUUUUGACAUGGACAGAGAACUUGUUCGAAGAAAAUGAAGAUUGACCUACAACAAUGGCUUUAGUGGCGGACUGGUGAGUAACGCGUGAGCAACCUGCCUGUUAGAGGGGAAUAACAGUGAGAAAUCAUUGCUAAUACCGCAUAUGCCAUAGUUACCACGUGGUAGCAGUGGGAAAGGAGUAAUCCGCUAACAGAUGGGCUCGCGUCUGAUUAGAUAGUUGGUGGGGUAACGGCCUACCAAGUCAACGAUCAGUAGCCGGACUGAGAGGUUGAACGGCCACAUUGGGACUGAGAUACGGCCCAGACUCCUACGGGAGGCAGCAGUCGGGAAUAUUGCGCAAUGGAGGAAACUCUGACGCAGUGACGCCGCGUAUAGGGAGAAGGUCUUCGGAUUGUAAACUAUUGUCGUUAGGGAAGAAAAAGGACAGUACCUAAGGAGGAAGCUCCGGCUAACUACGUGCCAGCAGCCGCGGUAAUACGUAGGGAGCAAGCGUUAUCUGGAUUUAUUGGGUGUAAAGGGUGCGUAGACGGGUUGUUAAGUUAGUUGUGAAAUCCCUCGGCUCAACUGAGGAACUGCAACUAAAACUGGCAAUCUUGAGUGUUGGAGAGGAAAGCGGAAUUCCUAGUGUAGCGGUGAAAUGCGUAGAUAUUAGGAGGAACACCCAGUGGCGAAGGCGGCUUUCUGGACAAUAACUGACGUUGAGGCACGAAAGUGUGGGGAGCAAACAGGAUUAGAUACCCUGGUAGUCCACACCGUAAACGAUGAAUACUAGGUGUAGGUUAUGUCUAUGUAAUCUGUGCCGUCGCAAACG
rnacentral:rRNA from 1 species